rnacentral:lncRNA from 1 species
AUGCCGGGAGACGGCGUUCCCGCCAGGGAUAGAACCCGGGCGGCGACUAAAGCCGGAGUUCGGAGCUCCGUCUCCUCGACUGCCGUGGCGCCGCUGGUUACCGACCCACUGAAGAGCUUUGUGUUAUUCUUGGAAAAUUUCGCACCACUUGUGAAUUCCUUGAACCUGGGCAUUGCAAACCCACUUCUGUUGGGCCCAUCUCCUUUGCACUUUGCUCAGAUUAAGACUCAGUUGGCGCUGCAGCAGCUGAAUGCCAUUGCCUCACAUAGUUCAACACCACCUUAUACUUUAUUAAAUCAGGCUUUCUUGAAAAUAGCCAUGUCGAGACCCAGGUUUAAUCCUCGAGGAAACUUUCCACUUCAGAGGCCACGAGCACCUAACCCUUCUGAGAUGAGGCCUCCAGGACCAUUUAUGAGGCCUGGAUCUAUGGGUCUUCCAAGAUUUUACCCAGCAGGGAGAGCCCGUGGAAUUCCACACAGAUUUGCCUGCCAUGAAUCUUAUCAGAAUAUGGAACCACAGAGAAUGAAUGUUCAGGUAACUCAACACCAAACUGAUCCAAGAUUGACCAAAGAAAAAUUGGAUUUUCAUGAAGCACAACAAAAGAAGGAGAAGCCUCAUGGUAGCCGAUGGGAUGAUGAGCCUCAUAUAUCUGCAUCAGUGGGAGUGAAGCAGAGUUCUGUAACGCAGGUUACAGAGCAGAGUCCUAAAGUACAGAGCCGCUAUACAAAAGAGAGUGCCUCAAGUAUCCUAGCAAGUUUUGGAUUAUCUAAUGAAGACUUAGAAGAACUCAGUCGCUAUCCUGAUGAACAGCUAACUCCUGAAAAUAUGCCAUUAAUCUUGAGGGAUAUAAGAAUGCGGAAAAUGGGGCGCCGAUUACCUAAUUUACCUUCUCGGAGCAGAAAUAAAGAAACACUUGGUAAUGAGGCAGUUUCGAGUAACGUGAUUGAUUAUGGGCAUGCAAGCAAAUAUGGCUACACAGAAGAUCCACUUGAAGUACGUAUUUAUGAUCCUGAAAUUCCAACUGAUGAGGUCGAGGAUGAAUUUCGGUCACAGCCAAGUAUUUCUGCAUCUGUUCCUGCUCCAAAUGUGAUGUGUAAUUCUAUGUUUCCUGUUGAAGAUGUGUUCCGACAGAUGGACUUCCCCAGUGAGUCCUCCAGUAAUCAGUCCUUUUUCCCAGUUGAGAGUGGAAGCAAGAUGUCAGGUUUACACAUUUCAAGAGGACAGUCAGUCCUUGAACCUGUAAAAUCUGUCAGCCAGUCCAUUAGCCAGACAGUUAAUCAGACAAUGAGUCAGUCUCUGAUUCCUCCUUCUAUGAACCAGCAACCUUUUUCAUCGGAAUUAAUUUCAACUGUAAGCCAACAAGAGCGGAUCCCACGUGAACCUGUCAUUAAUUCAUCUAAUGUACAUGGAUCGGGAGGAAGUAAAAAGAAUUACCAGUCAGAGGCUGACAUCCCCAUUCGGUCUCCCUUUGGGAUUGUGAAAGCUUCAUGGCUACCAAAGUUUUCGCAUGCUGAUGCCCAGAAGAUGAAGAGACUUCCAACUCCUUCUAUGAUGAAUGAUUAUUAUGCAGCAUCUCCAAGAAUAUUUCCACAUUUGUGUUCUCUGUGUAACGUAGAAUGUAGUCAUUUGAAGGAUUGGAUUCAGCAUCAAAAUACAUCUACUCAUAUUGAGAGUUGCCGACAGUUACGUCAACAGUAUCCUGAUUGGAAUCCUGAGAUCCUCCCAUCAAGAAGAAAUGAAGGCAAUAGAAAAGAAAAUGAAACUCCAAGAAGACGAUCUCAUUCCCCCAGUCCAAGGCAUUCUAGGAGAUCAAGCUCGAGUCACAGAUUUCGUCGAUCUCGAAGCCCUGUACGUUGUAUGUAUAGACCAAGAAGCCGAAGUCCAAGAAUUUGCCAUCGUUUUAUUCCUAGAUACAGAUCCAGAUCCCGUUCACCGUAUCGAAUGAGAAAUCCAUUUAGAGGUAGUCCAAAAUGCUUUCGAUCAGUUAGCCCUGAAAGGACAUCAAGGAAAUUGGAGAGAUCAUCAGAUAGAAAAAAAGCAUUAGAAGAUGUAAUACAACGGUCUGGGCAUGAGUCAGAAUUCAGUAAACAGAAGCAUCUUGAAGCAGCUGAUAAAGGACACUCACCAGCACAAAAACUUAAAACUGGCAGUGGAGCAAAGACAUCAGUUAAAUCUACAAGUUCUGCAAAGAAUGAUUCAAAUAUAGGAGGACAUUGUACUCGUUACAAAUUAAAGAAUCUUGAAGAUGAUACCCCAUCAGAAAGUAAACAGAUGGCUGAUAAAACUGUUUCUCUGCCACGUAAGCUUCGGAAGGACCAGUCUUCACAUUAUGGUCCUGUUCUUCUGAUAUCUGAAUUACCAGAAGAUGGCUGUACUGAAGAAGAAAUUAGAAAAAUAUUUCAACCGUUUGGAAAAGUUAAUGAUGUCCUGAUUGUUCCAUACAGAAAGGAAGCUUACUUGGAAAUGGAAUUUAAAGAAGCAAUUACUGCAGUCAUGGAGUACAUUGAAACAACACCUCUUCUGAUAAAAGGGAAAAGUGUGAAAAUAUGUGUUCCAGGAAAGAAAAAGUCACAGAACAAAGAAGUGAAGAAAAAGAUGUCAGAUUCAAAGAAAACAUCUGCAUCUACUUUAAAAAAAGAUACAGAUGCUUCCACAGGUAUUGAAACUGUGACUGCAGCUUCUACUACCAAAACUGGACAAACCAAGACAUCUGCAACCAAAGUAAAUAAAUCUUCAGGGAAGUCAGCGGGUUCUGUCAAAUCUGUGGUAACAGUAGCUGCUAAAGGUAAUAAAGCUUCAAUCAAAACAGCAAAAUCUGGUGGAAAGAAGUCUCUGGAAGUCAAAAAGACUGGAAUUGUCAAGAACAAAGACACCAGUAAAUCUGUGAAUGUACCAGAAAGCUCUGAAAUGAAGACAAAUGUGGAAGUCAAAACCACUGAAAAUGGAGCUAAAGAAACUAUUUCAGCUGCUUUGGAGGCCACAGAAAAUGAACCAGUCAACAAGGAAACAGAAGAAAUGUGUAUGGUACUUAUUUCUGAUUUGCCUAGUAAAGGAUAUUCUGUUGAAGAAGUUUCCAACCUUGUAAAACCAUUUGGUGGUUUAAAGGAUAUUUUGAUUUUAUCAUCUCAUAAAAAGGCAUUUAUAGAAAUAAAUAGAAAAUCUGCAGAUUCUAUGGUAAAAUUUUAUACCUGCUUCCCAAUAUCAAUGGAUGGAAAUCAACUCUCAAUAAGUAUGGCUCCUGAAAACAUGAAUUUAAAAGACGAGGAAGCUAUAUUUACAACCCUGAUUAGAGAAAAUGACCCAGAGGUAAAUAUAGAUAAAAUUUACGAUCGAUUUGUACAUCUUGAUAACUUACCGGAAGAUGGACUUCAGUGUGUACUUUGUGUCGGACUUCAGUUUGGGAAAGUGGAUCACCAUAUAUACAUGAGUAAUAAAAACAAGGCAAUUCUUCAGUUAGAUAGCCCUGAAUCUGCUCAGUCAAUGUACAGCUUUCUGAAACAAAACCCACAGAACAUAGGUGACCAUGUAUUGACCUGCACAUUAUCUCCAAAGAUGGACUCAUCAGAGGUGAAAGCUGAGAAAGACUCAGAACUAGGAAAGGAAAGCCCUGACUUGAAAAACAGUCCAGUUGAUGAAAGUGAGGUGCAAACAGCAGCUGAUAGUCCCUCUAUUAAACCUAGUGAGGUUGAAGAAGAAUCUAUUCCCAACGUUCAAACAGGAACUUUUAUACAGCAGAAAGAGCCUUUUGAGGAAGAACCAGAAAAAACACUAUGUGUCUCUGAUUUUGCUCUUGAAACAUUUGAAGUUGAAACUCAAGGAGAGGAGGUCAAAGUGGAAAUUCCUCUUGUAGCAUCCACGUCAGUACCUGGAAUUUCCACUGGGGAUGAGCAGGCAGUGAGCAUAAAGGGAAUUUCUGAAAAAACUAACAUGGAUGAGAAGGAGGAGAAUGAAUUAAAUACUAAGGAAGCCAGAAUGGAUCUGAAAAUAGGAAGAGAGAAGGCUGAGAAGAAUGAUGGGCUGGUUACAGAGAAGCUGGAUAAGGUUGUAGCUGCAGUGAAAGAAAAACCUGCAGAAAACUCAGUGACCAAGGCAUGUCCAAAUAAAACAGUGGUUCAGGCCGAUAAGCCUGAUAAAACUAGUAAAAUUAGUAUGCUGGGUGCAUCGAAUGCAUCUAGCAGUAAGUCAGGCCUCAAGACUGAUGUGGUCUCUUCUACAAAGGCAAAAGCUACAGCUGCAAAAUCUGAAAACCAGAAAAGUCUUCUAAAAUCUGUACUCAGAGAUCAAAUAAAUGCUGAAAAGAGGCUUUCAGCCAAGGAAUCAGGUCUGCUUAAACCUACAAGUACCAGGUCAGGCUUGGCUGAAAACAGCAGUAAAUUAAAACCCAUUCAGAGCGGUGUUACCAGAGGAAGCAGUGGAAGGAUCUCGGCCCUGCAAGGCAAAGAUUCUAAACUGGAUUACAGGGAUGUUACAAAACAGCCUCAGGAAACAGAGGCCAAACCUUCCACCAUGAAACGGGAUGACAGCAACAAUAAGACUUUGACCACGCAAAACACUAAGAAUCCUAAAAACACCACUGGUAGAAGUUCAAAAUCCAAAGAGGAACCUUUAUUUCCAUUUAAUUUGGAUGAAUUUGUUACUGUGGAUGAGGUUAUAGAAGAAGUAAAUCCUUUUCAAGUCAAGCAGAAUCCACUGAAGGGAAAAAGGAAAGAAGCUCUCAAAAAUACCCCUGCCUCUGAACUGACCUUGAAGAAGAAGAAGGGAAAGAUGUCUGCUCCUCGUGUGGUUGAGGGAGAGUUGUCUUUUGUAACAUUGGAUGAGAUUGGGGAAGAGGAAGACGCAGCUGCACAGCUAGCACAGGCUCUAGUCACUGUGGAUGAAGUAAUUGAUGAAGAUGACAUAAAUGUGGAAGACAUGGUUAAAAAUUCAAACUCACUUCUUACAUUAGAUGAGUUAAUUGAUCAAGACGACUGCAUUUCUCACAGUGAAACUAAAGAUGUUACUGUGCUGUCUGUGGCUGAAGAGCAAGAUCUUCUUAAACAAGAACGCUUGGUAACUGUGGAUGAAAUUGGGGAAGUAGAAGAGCUACCUUUAAAUGAGUCAACAGAUAUCAGUUUUGCUGCUUUAAAUACUAAAGGAGAUGAGGGAAAUACUGGAAGGGAUUCUAUUGGAUUCAUUUCUUCUCAGAUGCCUGAAGACCCUUCUACCUUAGUUACUGUAGACGAAAUACAGGAUGACAGCAGUGAUCUGCAUUUAGUGACUUUAGAUGAAGUAACUGAAGAGGAUGAAGACUCUCUGGCAGAUUUUAACAACCUUAAAGAAGAGCUUAAUUUUGUUACUGUUGAUGAAGUUGGAGAGGAAGAAGAUGGAGACAGUGAUUUAAAAAUUGAGUUAACACAGAGGAAAAAUGACCAUCCCACUGAUAAGAGAGGUGAUAGAAAAAAGAGAACUGUGGACAAAAAGAAGACAAAACUUGAAGCUUUGUCUCAAGUGGGCCCAGUAAAUGAGAAUGUUAUGGAAGAAAAUCCGAAAACCAUGAUUGAAAGACGCUCAGCAGCUACAGUGCCAACCAAGAGAGUUAGAAUUGGAAAAAUGCCACCAUCAGAAAAAGUUGUUAUAGUGGAACCAGUGAAAGAUGAAGAGGCCUUCCAAAUUAGUGAAGAAUCUGGAUUAGAGGAUUCAGAACCAGAACAGAAACGCAAGAAGACUGAGGACUCUUCAGGGAAAUCAGUGGCACCUGAUGUCCCUGAAGAUUUAGACUUUCUUGUACCAAAGGCUGGAUUCUUCUGUCCAAUUUGUUCCCUCUUCUACUCAGAUGAAAAAGCAAUGACAAAUCACUGCAAGAGUACACGUCAUAAGCAAAAUACAGAGAAGUUCAUGGCCAAGCAAAGAAAGGAAAAGGAGCAGAAUGAGGCUGAAGAAAGAAGCUCUAGGUGAUUGAGGGGGUGGGGGGAAGAAUUCAUUAGAAAUUUGUUUAGGGUCCAGUUGAUUUGUGUAUUUUUGUUAUCACUUAAUUUGUAAUUUUUGUUUCAGAAGCAAAUAUUCAUGUUGUACAAAUUUCUGAUUGCCCUUGAUGUAGAGAGACUGAUGGGGAAAGUAUGAUGGGUUUGAUUUUUAUAUCAAAUCAUCAGGCAUGGAGAAAUAUCUUUUAGAAGUGUUAAAAUAAAUGUUCCUACUGUAUAUUU